rnacentral:rRNA from 1 species
GCAAGUCGAGGGGCGAUCAGGGAUCUAGCUUGCUAGAUUUGCUGGCGACCGGCGCACGGGUGAGUAACGCGUAUCCAACCUUCCCUAUAGUAGAGGAUAGCCCGGCGAAAGUCGGAUUAAUACUCUAUGUUGUAUUUAGAGGACAUCUGAAGAAUACCAAAGGUUUACCGCUAUAGGAUGGGGAUGCGUCUGAUUAGGUUGUUGGCGGGGUAACGGCCCACCAAGCCAACGAUCAGUAGGGGUUCUGAGAGGAAGGUCCCCCACAUUGGAACUGAGACACGGUCCAAACUCCUACGGGAGGCAGCAGUGAGGAAUAUUGGUCAAUGGGCGAGAGCCUGAACCAGCCAAGUAGCGUGCCAGGACGACGGCCCUACGGGUUGUAAACUGCUUUUAUGCGGGGAUAAAGUGCCCUACGUGUAGGGUAUUGCAGGUACCGCAUGAAUAAGGACCGGCUAAUUCCGUGCCAGCAGCUGC